AAAACGACUCUCGGCAACGGAUAUCUCGGCUCUCGCAUCGAUGAAGAACGUAGCGAAAUGCGAUACUUGGUGUGAAUUGCAGAAUCCCGUGAACCAUCGAGUCUUUGAACGCAAGUUGUGCCCGAAGCCAUUAGGCCGAGGGCACGCCUGCCUGGGCGUCACAC
rnacentral:rRNA from 1 species